rnacentral:rRNA from 1 species
AAACCUUCGCAAUGCCCGAAAGGGUGACGAGGCUACCCCGAGUGUCGUCCGCUAAGGACGACUUUUGUCGGGUCUAAAAAGCCCGACGAAUAAGGGGAGGGCAAGUCUGGUGUCAGCCGCCGCGGUAAUACCAGCUCCCCGACUGGUCGGGACGAUUAUUGGGUCUAAAGCGUCCGUAGCCGGCCCUGUAUGUGGUCCGUUAAAUCCAGCGGCUCAACCGCUGGGCUGCGGAUCAUACUAUGGGGCUAGGGGACGGGAGAGGCCGGGGGUACUCCGCGGGUAGGGGUAAAAUCCGCUGAUCCGCGGAAGACCAACAGUGGCGAAGGCGCCCGGCCAGAACGCGCCCGACGGUGAGGGACGAAAGCCAGGGGAGCGA